rnacentral:misc_RNA from 1 species
CUCGCGCCAAAAUUAAAUAUGGCGAGACCUGUCGCUCUGAAGUAUGUUGUGAGUUUUACUUCUCAGGAUGAAACCCAUUCCGUGCAAAACCUUCUAAAGGAUGGAUGUUUCAAAAAAUGGCUGUCUAAUCCCAAAGAUAGAACGGGAAUAAUGGAAGGAGUAUUUCAGUUGGAUCAAGCAUCUGUGAUAUCGUAUUUAGAUAUUGGUUCACAUAUGUGCUCCAAUAUAGAAAUUCGUGUUGGAAAAUCUGAUUGGCCUCAGAGUCGUGAGUUUGAACCAUUAAUACGAAACAUCAAUUUAAUGACCCUAUCUGAUGUUCAACUUCGUCGUAAUGUAAAUCACACAUCUAUGUUCAGUACUAAGGAUUUUUGUCCUGCAGCUUCUAAUGGAGUUUGGGAUCGUAUUCAUGUGAUUUGUCGACAGAAUUAUCGUAAAAAUGUCCAGUUUGGUCUCUCUUUCAUCAGAAUAAAAAAUAAACUUGUAGAUUCUUCACCACAGUCACCUAAACAAACUGUUGAAAAGGAUAUAUCGAAGAAAAUAUCGAAUGAAAUGAUUCAGCAGCAUUUUUUCAAAAACAAGCAGCCUUCUGUAUCUGAAAAUGAAAAACUUAAAGCCCAAUUAUUGAAAUUAUCAACCUGUGGAGAGGGUGGGCUUGAGUCAGUACAAGGAUUAUCUCGACCUGCUCAAAUGUUGCUUGCUGCUAAAGAAAAUGUUGGGAAAUAUUCUCCUGAGACUCGAUACAAAUCUGGUGGAAAAACUAAAAACGAUGUGUUAUUUUCAGAAACAGCUGCUCAAAGACAGAAUUUAACGAUAGAAGAAGAAAUGGAUUUAUUUAUAUCAAAGUUAAAAAUUAACAAGAAACAAUUACAUUCUGUCACCAUAGCUGAUCUACGACACCAGUUUGAAAAGAAGAAGCGGAAAUUGACUGUUGAAGAGCGAAACACUUAUGCAACCAAAGUCACUGACCAUAUCAAUAGUGUAUUUUCUUUGAGGGACUUGCAUAAAAAGGAGAAGGUAAUUGACCAGGAGGAGGAAGUACAGCAGUCCAAGAGGCUUAAAAUUGAACACAGGAACCAUAACACAAGCAAUAACUUGCCAUUGCCUUCAGCUGCUUCAACAUCAAAAAAUAAUUAUUCCAAUUUGCAACAUAAAGCAACAAACUUAAUUGAGACAAAAGAAACUCAAGAAGGCUCAGGUGAUUUUCAGUUAUUGAUGGAUAUGCCUGAAGAUUUACCAAAGACCAUUAAUACUAAGAAUCAGAACUUAAAUACAUCUGUUAAUAAUUUUGAACCUUUGCUUCAAAAUACCAACUUUUUAAAUUCUAGUGAAAUAUCAUCUGGUAAAUUAGAAGCAAUGACUAUUAAAAAGGAUUCUUUUGCUUUGGGUAAAACCGGACAUACCAAGACGUCUCCAAAAAAUUCAUUUUCAUCUUCAGGGGACCAUACUACUACAUCUAAUACAGAUAUUAGAGUGGAUCUUGAAGAAAUGGACUUUGAUUGUGUUAGUUGUCCACUCUGUGGAGAAUUCUUCCCAGGAGAUGUUAUUGAAAUGCAUGCCAAUGUUUGUGCUGAUAGCCAGCAGUUUGAAUUACAUUAUUCUCCUUGAAUUAGGUAAUAACUGUUGUUUUGGGACUGUUAUAUUAUGUAAACACUUCAUUUAUAAAGUCAGUGACUCACAACUAUUACUACUUGGUCAAACCAACAGAUUUGAAAGCUAAAAGACACAAGUGAGAAAAUAAAAUUCACUUAUGAAGCUAACAGAUGGAGUUAAUAUUGGAGAGAAUGAGAGGAAGCUUAGAGGCAAAGGCAGCAGACAUAAAGGGAUAUUACAGAGAUGAAAAGAAGUUCAGUUAAUUUGGGACAAAAGAAUACUGAGAUGGUUAUAUUUCUGUUAAAAAAAAAAUGGAAUUACAUUAUGAAAUACAGUGAGAGUUACAUGUGCUCAAAUUGUGAAGAUGUUGGACUGCUAGCUAAAAAAAUCAGUUUAUAUCUUCUCUGUCGCAGUAAGCUAUGACAAGAUAUUUCCUCAUCUUCAGUGGUUCUAGGGUAUCAGAAUGAAGAGGGUAAAUGUUACUUUCAGGCAUCUACUUUACCUUUAGGUUUCUAUGUUCAGUAAAUAACAGAGUAGGUAUUGUGAUGAAGCAUAGCACAUCAUUGAAAGCAAGGAGAGCAUUUUAUUGAGCGCACCAGUGGACACUAAAAAAAAACCUGAAUUCUAUCUAAGGGAAGAAACCUUAGGUAAUGUUAUGAACAAAAACAUACAAGCAAAACUAAAUUUAAAUCCCCACCCUGCCUUUUUUUAUAUUAAAAGAACCACCUCGUCUAUGGAAUCAAAUCUUUAUAGUGAAAGUUACUAUUAUAAGAAAACCCUUCACUUUACACAAUACACACAUUAUACAAUUUGAAGAA